GAUGAACGCUGGCGGCGUGCCUAAUACAUGCAAGUCGAGCGAACAGAUGAGUAGCUUGCUCCUCUGACGUUAGCGGCGGACGGGUGAGUAACACGUGGAUAACCUACCUAUAAUACUGGGAUAACUUCGGGAAACCUUAGCUAAUACCGGAUAAUAUAUUGAACCGCAUGGUUCUAUAGUGAAAUACGGUUUUGCUGUCACUUAUAGAUGGUUCCUCGCCGCAUUAGCUAGUUGGUAAGGUAACGGCUUACCAAGGCAACGAUGCGUAGCCGACCUGAGAGGGUGAUCGGCCACACGGGAACAGAGACACGGAACAGACUCAUACGGGAGGCAGCAGUAGGGAAUAGUCCGCAAUGGGCGAAAGCAUGACGGAGCAACGCCGCGUGAGUGAUGAAGGUCUACGGAUCGUAAAACUCUGUUAUGAGGGAAGAAAAAAUGUGUAAGUAAAUAUGCACGUCUUGACGGUAACUAAUCAGAAAGCAACGGCUAACUACGUG
rnacentral:rRNA from 1 species